GCAUAGAAAAAAGCACUGACUAGAGCUAAUAUUAUGCCCGUUGACACGCUAUUGCUUUGUACAGUUAAACCCGAAAAACUGACCAAUAUCUCGGCAGAAGGGUAUAAAAUCAAUACAAGUUGCACUUUGUCUCUAAGCUAGAGAAUUUCCUGUUUCCAUAUAAUUGUAGCAAACUUGCAACUUACUAGUCCAAAGAUGCUAACAACUACAGCAGCUAGCUUGGACAAUGAAAACUUGUCCCCUCCGUUACUGGGAAAAAAAGCAGCAAGGAUUAAAGUGAAUAAACUAGAUGUCGAAGACAAUAUAGUCACGAUUCUCGCCUCUAUUUGCUCCAAUGAUAUUUGCUCUCACACUGGCUUGAUAACUAAGUCGCGCUAAUAGAGCUUCUGUGGCAUCGCUUUCCGACAUAUGGCGCACUUCCGCUAGUUUACU